AGCUUUGCACAGUGGCAGUAUUGUAGCCAAUGAGGUUUAUCCGAGGUGCGAUUAUUGCUAAUAGAAAAUAGACACAAAAUUUAUAAAACCAGUUCCUAUAAAAUCAAUGAAGACUUUAAUUGCUGUCCUUUGGGA
ensembl:snRNA U4 U4 spliceosomal RNA